rnacentral:rRNA from 1 species
AUUGAACGCUGGCGGCAUGCUUUACACAUGCAAGUCGAACGGUAACAGGCCGCAAGGUGCUGACGAGUGGCGAACGGGUGAGUAAUGCAUCGGAACGUGCCCAGUCGUGGGGGAUAACGCAGCGAAAGCUGUACUAAUACCGCAUACGAUCUGUGGAUGAAAGCGGGGGACCGUAAGGCCUCGCGCGAUUGGAGCGGCCGAUGUCAGAUUAGGUAGUUGGUGGGGUAAAGGCUCACCAAGCCGACGAUCUGUAGUUGGUCUGAGAGGACGACCAGCCAAACUGGGACUGAGACACGGCUCGGAGUCCUACGGGAGGCAGCAGUGGGGAAUUUUGGACGAUGGGCGCAAGCUUGAUCCAGCAAUGCCGCGUGCAGGAAGAAGGCCUUCGGGUUGUAAACUGCUUUUGUACGGAGCGAAAAGGCUCUCUCUAAUACAGGGGGCUCAUGACGGUACCGUAAGAAUAAGCACCGGCUAACUACGUGCCAGCCGCCGCCGUAAUAC